AGUGAACGCUGGCGGUAGGCCUAACACAUGCAAGUCGAACGGCAGCACAGUAAGAGCUUGCUCUUACGGGUGGCGAGUGGCGGACGGGUGAGGAAUACAUCGGAAUCUACUUUUUCGUGGGGGAUAACGUAGGGAAACUUACGCUAAUACCGCAUACGACCUACGGGUGAAAGCAGGGGAUCUUCGGACCUUGCGCGAUUGAAUGAGCCGAUGUCGGAUUAGCUAGUUGGCGGGGUAAAGGCCCACCAAGGCGACGAUCCGUAGCUGGUCUGAGAGGAUGAUCAGCCACACUGGAACGGAGACACGGUCAAGACUCCUACGGGAGGCAGCAGUGGGGAAUAUUGGACAAUGGGCGCAAGCCUGAUCCAGCCAUACCGCGUGGGUGAAGAAGGCCUUCGGGUUGUAAAGCCCUUUUGUUGGGAAAGAAAAGCAGCAGGUUAAUACCCCGCUGUUCUGACGGUACCCAAAGAAUAAGCACCGGCUAACUUCGUG
rnacentral:rRNA from 1 species